UGCGGGGUGGGGCAAUGGUAGCCCGUCAGGUUCUGGCCCUGAAGAUCCUGGUUCGAAUCCAGGCCCCGCAGCAA
rnacentral:tRNA from 1 species